AUACGGAGGGUGCAAGCGUUAUUCGGAAUUACUGGGCGUAAAGCGCGCGUAGGCGGAUGAUUAAGUCAGUUGUGAAAGCCCUGGGCUCAACCUAGGAACUGCAUCUGAUACUGGUCGUCUAGAGUUUAAGAGAGGGAAGUGGAAUUCCAGGUGUAGCAGUGAAAUGCGUAGAUAUCUGGAGGAACAUCAGUGGCGAAGGCGACUUCCUGGCUUAAAACUGACGCUGAGGUGCGAAAGCGUGGGUAGCGAACGGGAUUAGAUACCCUAGUAGUCC
rnacentral:rRNA from 1 species